rnacentral:misc_RNA from 1 species
UACGGAGGAUCCAAGCGUUAUCCGGAAUUAUUGGGCGUAAAGCGUCCGUAGACGUUUUCAUCAGUCUGGUGUUAAAUCUGGAGGCUCAACCUUCAGCUCGUACCGGAUACUAUGAGAAUCGAGGAAUGUAGAGGCAAGUGGAAUUCCAGAAGUAGGGGUAAAAUCCGUAGAUCUCUGGAGGAACACUAAACGCGAAGGCAUCUUGCUGGACAUUUCCUGACGUUGAGGGACGAAAGCGUGGGUAGCGAACGGG